AUGGCCACCUGCCCUGCUUGCUGCUGCUGCUGGAGUGGAUUGGACUCCAGUGCUUGUGCUUGUGGGGGGGAGUACUUGGGACAGCCAAGGCAAGGCUCUUGGGAUCUGCAAAAUGAUUCAAAUUUAGUUUUGGAUCUGGAUCACUACAGCUCAGAUCAGAUUCAUUUCAUGGAGCACAAGAAACCUGCUCACCUGCUGCUUACCGGUUUCCAUGGCGAGAUUAUUAAUAAACAAACGCAUGCUUCCAAUAUGAUGAUACAGGCACACUUGUCCUUGUGUACAGGGAAUGUUUUUGCCUUGCAGCCGCAGCAGAAUUCUACAUAG
rnacentral:rRNA from 1 species